AUUUAUAUAGUAUAAUGAGUACAGUUAAUUUCCAAUUAAUAAGUUUAAGUAUUUUAAUAUAAAUA
rnacentral:tRNA from 1 species